rnacentral:rRNA from 1 species
AGAAUCAACGCUGGCGGCGUGCCUAACACAUGCAAGUCGAACGAGAAAGUGGAGCAAUCCAUUAGUAAAGUGGCGCACGGGUGAGUAACACGUGACUAACCUACCCUUGAGUGGGGGAUAACCUAGGGAAACCUGGGCUAAUACCGCAUAAUACCUUCGGAUCAAAGGAGCAAUUCGCUUAAGGAGGGGGUCGCGGCCGAUUAGUUAGUUGGCGGGGUAAUGGCCCACCAAGACGAUGAUCGGUAU